rnacentral:tRNA from 1 species
AAUCUUAUAGUUUAAAAAAAUUUUAAAUUGCAAAUUUAAGGAAAUAAAUUUAUAUUUAUUAAGAUUU